UCUAGAUACAUAAUCUCUCAAAAAAGGCAG
rnacentral:piRNA from 1 species